CUAAGGCGAGGCCGACAGGCGUAGUCGAUGGAUGACGGGUUGAUAUUCCCGUACCCGUGUGCGUGCGACAAGUGAUGAAUCUUAUGGUACUAACCGCCCGCCUGCGUGCACUGGUCUUUUUGGUUGGUGUGUGUGGGUGCGUGGGAUCUUCGUGGGUAGUAGUCAAGUGAUGGGGUGACGCAGAGUGGUAGCUAGGCUUCCUUAUUGGAUUGGAGUGCAAGCGUGUGGCCUGUGGGGUUGGGAAAUCCGCCCCACAUAUCAGGUGAGGCGUGAUGCGGACACCAUGUUGUGGUGGUAGUUAGUGUGCCUGUGCUGUCUAGAAAAGCCUCUAGCGAGUGCGUGCAUGGCCCGUACCGGAAACCGACACAGGUGGUCAGGUAGAGAAUACUAAGGCGUUCGGGUGAACUGUGGUUAAGGAACUCGGCAAAAUGCCCCCGUAACUUCGGGAGAAGGGGGACCAUUACUGGUUGCUGACAGCGAAUUGGCUGGUGGUGGUCGCAGAGGAGAGAGGGAAGCGACUGUUUAUUAAAAACACAGGUCCGUGCGAAAACGUGGAAGUUGAGGUAUACGGACUGACGCCUGCCCGGUGCUGGAAGGUUAAGAGGACCCGUGAGCACGCCUUAUGUGUGUGCGAGGCGGAGAAUUGAAGCCCCAGUAAACGGCGGUGGUAACUAUAACCAUCCUAAGGUAGCGAAAUUCCUUGUCGGGUAAGUUCCGACCUGCACGAAUGGCGUAACGACUUCCCUGCUGUCUCAACCACAGGCCCGGUGAAAUUGCAGUACGAGUAAAGAUGCUCGUUUCGCGCGGCAGGACGAAAAGACCCCGGGACCUUUACUAUAGCUUGGUAUUGGUGUUUGGUCAUGCUUGUGUAGGAUAGGUGGGAGACUGUGAAGCCGCAACGCUAGUUGUGGUGGAGUCGCAGGUGAAAUACCACUCUGGUGUGAUUGGGUACCUGAACCUUGGCCCGUGAUCCGGGUUGGGGACAGUGCCUGGUGGGUAGUUUAACUGGGGCGGUUGCCUCCUAAAUGGUAACGGAGGCGCCCAAAGGUUUCCUCAGUCUGGUUGGCAAUCAGAUGGUGAGUGUAAGUGUAUAAGGGAGCUUGACUGUGACACUGACGGGUGGAGCAGGUGCGAAAGCAGGGACUAGUGAUCCGGCACCUACGUGUGGUUGUGGUGUCGCUCAACGGAUAAAAGGUACCCCGGGGAUAACAGGCUGAUCUUCCCCAAGAGUUCAUAUCGACGGGAUGGUUUGGCACCUCGAUGUCGGCUCGUCGCAUCCUGGGGCUGGAGUAGGUCCCAAGGGUUGGGCUGUUCGCCCAUUAAAGCGGCACGCGAGCUGGGUUUAGAACGUCGUGAGACAGUUCGGUCUCUAUCCGCCGCGCGCGUUGAAACUUGAAGAAGGCUGUCCCUAGUACGAGAGGACCGGGAUGGACGUACCUCUGGUAUGCCAGUUGUCACGCCAGUGGCAUGGCUGGUUAGCUACGUGCGGGAGGGAUAACCGCUGAAAGCAUCUAAGCGGGAAGCCUGUUUUGAGAUGAGGUUUCUGUUGAGGUUCCCUGUAGAUGAUGGGGUUGAUAGGCCAGGGCUGUGAGCAUGGUGACGUGUUGGAGGUGACUGGUACUAAUAUACCGACACAAAAUAACA
rnacentral:rRNA from 1 species